CCGGCGCACGGGUGAGUAACACGUAUCCAACCUGCCGUCUACUCUUGGCCAGCCUUCUGAAAGGAAGAUUAAUCCAGGAUGGGAUCAUGAGUUCACAUGUCCGCAUGAUUAAAGGUAUUUCCGGUAGACGAUGGGGAUGCGUUCCAUUAGAUAGUAGGCGGGGUAACGGCCACCUAGUCAACGAUGGAUAGGGGUUCUGAGAGGAAGGUCCCCCACAUUGGAACUGAGACACGGUCCAA
rnacentral:rRNA from 1 species